AGGAUAUAGUUUAUAAAAAUUUAAGUUUUGGGAGCUUAAGAUGCUUAAUUGGCUAUCUUGAA
rnacentral:tRNA from 1 species